GCUUCUGUGGUCUAAGUGGUUAUAACUUCCGUCUUAGAUGCUGGAGAUCGCGGGUUCGAACCCCGGCCGAGUCA